rnacentral:rRNA from 1 species
UACGGGGGGGGCAAGCGUUGUUCGGAAUUACUGGGCGUAAAGGGCGCGUAGGCGGCCUUCUAAGUCGAACGUGAAAUCCCCGGGCUCAACCCGGGAACUGCGUCCGAUACUGGAAGGCUUGAAUCCGGGAGAGGGAUGCGGAAUUCCAGGUGUAGCGGUGAAAUGCGUAGAUAUCUGGAGGAACACCGGUGGCGAAGGCGGCAUCCUGGACCGGCAUUGACGCUGAGGCGCGAAAGCCAGGGGAGCAAACGGG